rnacentral:misc_RNA from 1 species
AAGGAAUCAGCGUGAAAAUGUUAUUCUUACCAUAGCAAAUGCACAGUCUCGACUUGGCAUACCUGUUCAAGCUGAUCCAAAAAUUGAUGAGAAAGCAAUCAAUGAAGUUUUUUUCAAGGUGCUGGAUAACUACACCAAAUGGUGCAGAUAUUUGCGUAUACGACUUGCAUGGAAUAGUAUUGAAGCAAUUAAUAGGGAGAGGAA